rnacentral:rRNA from 1 species
GGUCAAGCUACUAAGGGCGUGUGGGGGAUGUCUUGGCGCCAGAAGGCGAUGAAGGGCGUGGAAGGCUGCGAUAAGCCUGGGGAAGCUGUCAAACGAGCAUUGAUCCCGGGAUCCCUGAAUUACCGUAUGAUGAAUCCAUAGUCAUACGGGGCAAACGUGGGGAACUGAAACAUCUCAGUACCCAUAGGAAAGAAAAGCAACAGCGACUCCCUGAGUAGCGGCGAGCGAAACGGGAUCAGCCUAAACCGCAUUGGUGUCAAAGCCCAGUGGCGUUGCCAAUGCGGGGUCGUGGGACCGACCUGAAGGAGCACUGGACCUUCAAGGAGUUACAAAUCCAGCUGUUAGUAGAAGCGCUUUGGAAAGUCGUGCCGUAGAGGGUAAGAGCCCCGUAUACGAAAACAGACUGGACUCCUGGUCGGUAUCCCGAGUAGCGCCGGGACCGUGAAAACUGGCGUGAAUCCGCGAGGACCACCUCGUAAGGCUAAGUACAAGUAGAUGAC